CAGUGCUCUGCACGUGGUAAGCGCUCAAUAGAUACUGUUGAAUGAAUGAAUGUCCUGCCUCGGGGAGAAAAAGAACUGCAGUAGCUUUUCUCGAUGAUGAUUUUCACAGACCUAUACUGAUUUCUGUGAGGAAGAAAUACUUUCUGAAGAGACUGAGCCUUGCACCUUUUGAAGUGCCACUCUUCUGACCCAAGGGGCAAGGGGGAUAAGGAGGGGGAACCGAACUGCUUUUUGGUGCAGAAUCCCAUGAAGAACAAAAGCAAUCACGUGAUCUGACCGAUAUUUUUUCCCCUGUAGGAGCCAGUAUGGCUACGGUGUCCUGCAGGAUCCUAGGCGUCAACCAAUUCACCUGCCAUUCUCCCAACAAAAUGGGCCAAUAUGGCCAGUGUCCUUACGUGAUCAUGGGCAUCAGCAAUUCUUUAACCCAAACUAAUAAAAUGCAAUUUAUGUCCUGAGUCCAUGGACUGAAGACAGUUUUCCAACCAGCACCGACCAUCUAGUCGCAGUGAUGGCCUCUAAAAUGACAGACCCCAGAUGACCCAGCAAGGAUGGAAAAUGGAACCCAACUGGACUACAGGUAAUUUUGGGGUCUAUCCGUGGUGCUUCUGCGAGCUUCAGUUGCUGCAGCUGCUGAAGGGAAGGUGGAGAAGUAAUAAAUAUCCUGUUAUGAGAGGUCCUUAGAGAACAACUGCCAGUGCUUACCCGUUUUGAUAGGGUCAAGACAAGACUGAAUAAAGCUUCUUAUGCCUGGAAACAUUCUCAGUGUUUGGCAAGAGAAAUGGCAGUUUGGGAGAUUGUUGACUGUAUCAACUCUGACUGCCUGGAACCCUUCAAAAGAGCUGGAACAGAUGCUGUUGAGCAUUUAAGCUCAGAACAACAAAACAUGGUGAAAACAACCCUUCUCAUUCUUUAAAUAAACUUUAAAAGACUACA